rnacentral:tRNA from 1 species
GGAUGGGUGGCCGAGUGGUUUAAGGCAGCGGUCUUGAAAACCGCCGGGCCCGCAAGGGUCCCGUGAGUUCGAAUCUCACCCCAUCCG